rnacentral:rRNA from 1 species
AUACGGGGUGUGCAAGCGUUAUUCGGAUUUAUUGGGCGUAAAGAGCGCGUAGGCGGCUUGGUAAGUCAGAUGUGAAAGCCCGGGGCUCAACCUCGGAAGUGCAUUUGAAACUAUCAGGCUUGAGUAUGGGAGAGGGAAGUGGAAUUCCUGGUGUAGAGGUGAAAUUCGUAGAUAUCAGGAGGAACACCGGUGGCGAAGGCGACUUCCUGGACCAAUACUGACGCUGAGGCGCGAAGGCGUGGGGAGCAAACAGGAUUAGAUACCCCAGUAGUCC